CGAAAGUUAAGAAGGUUCGAAGGCGAUCAGAUACGCCCUACGUUCUAACCAUAACGAAUGCUGACCAGCGAUCCGCCGGCGCUAUUCCCAUGGCCCGGCGGGAAGCUUCCAGGGAACCAAAGUACUUUGAGUUCCGGGGAAGGUAUGGUUGCAAAGACUGAACUUAAAGGAAAUUAGACGGAAGGGCGACCACCAGGAGUGGAGCCUGCGGCUUAAUUUGACUCAACACGGGAAACCUCACCAGGCCCGGACACCGGAAGGAUUGACAGAAUGAGAGCUCUUUCUCGAUUCGGUGGGUGGUGGUGCAUGGCCGUUCUUAGUUGGUGGAGUGAUUUGUCUGGUUAAUUCCGAUAACGAACGAGACUCAGACCAAGUCUCUGCUACCGA
rnacentral:rRNA from 1 species